rnacentral:rRNA from 1 species
AUUGAACGCUGGCGGCAGGCUUAACACAUGCAAGUCGAGCGGAGAGAGGUAGCUUGCUACUGAUCUUAGCGGCGGACGGGUGAGUAAUGCUUAGGAAUCUGCCUAUUAGUGGGGGACAACAUUUCGAAAGGAAUGCUAAUACCGCAUACGUCCUACGGGAGAAAGCAGGGGAUCUUCGGACCUUGCGCUAAUAGAUGAGCCUAAGUCGGAUUAGCUGGUUGGUGGGGUAAAGGCCUACCAAGGCGACGAUCUGUAGCGGGUCUGCGAGGAUGAUCCGCCACACUGGGACUCAGACACGGCCCAGACUCCUACGGGAGGCAGCAGUGGGGAAUAUUGGACAAUGGGCGGAAGCCUGAUCCAGCCGUGCCGCGUGUGUGAAGAAGGCCUUAUGGUUGUAAAGCACUUUAAGUGAGGAGGAGGCUACUUUAGUUAAUACCUAGAGAUAGUGGACGUUACUCGCAGAAUAAGCACCGGCUAACUCUGUGCCAGCAGCCGCAGUAA